rnacentral:lncRNA from 1 species
UACAAUAAGUGGGCUUCGAGAUCGACUGGGUUCCAGGCAACAAUUCAAUCAAGAACUCUACCUCACAUGGGGGAGGUAGACCAGGAAGUUCGAUGGGAAAGAUAUACAAAAAAUUACAAACAAUUGGUAUAGAACAUACAGCAAGAUCGGUGCCCAUAUUCCUGUUCAUUAAAAUUGUUAGGAAAAUGAUAACAAUAACUUUUAUUUCUUUUUCGGGGAUCAUAAGGUUACAAUUUUACUUUCAUAGUCUAUUAUACCUCUAUACUUUUCUAACCAUUCCAUUCCUAAUAUUACAUCAAAUCCUACAAAAUCUAAUAGUAUCAAGUUUACACAUACCUCUAUCCUUAAAGUUUUUAUCCUACAGUCCUUAUAUAC